rnacentral:rRNA from 1 species
ACGCACGCUGGCGGCGUGCUUAACACCUGCCAGUCGAACGCUGAAGCUUGGUGCUUGCACUGGGUGGAUGAGUGGCGAACGGGUGAGUAAUACGUGAGUAACCUGCCCUUGACUCUGGGAUAAGCCUGGGAAACUGGGUCUAAUACUGGAUAUGACAUGCCACUGCAUGGUGGUGUGUGGAAAGGGUUUUACUGGUUUUGGAUGGGCUCACGGCCUAUCAGCUUGUUGGUGGGGUAAUGGCCUACCAAGGCGACGGCGGGUAGCCGGCCUGAGAGGGUGACCGGCCACACUGGGACUGAGACACGGCCCAGACUCCUACGGGAGGCAGCAGUGGGGAAUAUUGCACAAUGGGCGGAAGCCUGAUGCAGCGACGCCGCGUGAGGGAUGACGGCCUUCGGGUUGUAAACCUCUUUCAGUACGGAAGAAGCGAGAGUGACGGUACGUGCAGAAGAAGCGCCGGCUAACUACGUG